rnacentral:lncRNA from 10 species
UAUUACUCUCCUCUCAUCUUCUAAAAUUGGAGUGUUUUUAUUUCUAUUCAGAGAAAUGAAGAACUAGCACUGCUUCUGAAUCUUUCCACCUUCAGGACCCUGAAAUGCAGGUGCCUACAGGGUAAGUCGGUGCUCUUGAUCAUGAAGCUGCAUACUUACCUGGACCAGUUUGCAGGAGAAGCUGAAAGAGGAGAUCUGGCAGGAGCUAGAGGAGUUUGGGGCCUGACUGCUACUCCAACAACAAGAUAAACCAGCAAUUCAGCAACAACAUGCAUAAGCUGCAAUAGAUCCUGAACUCACACUCACCUUUCUAGGACAAACAGGGUGUUGCUCCCCUGUCAUUUAAAAAAUCAUUUACAAAUUUUAUUCGUGGCCAAUUCUCACUUGGAAAGAUAUAUGGAAGACAAAUGUGGCAAAGGGAGUUUCAGUUAAGCCAAAUUGAAACAAGAGAAAGCAACAUUUCAUUUAAUUUUGCAACUUUAAUGUAAUUGUGCUCUAAAUUGUGGACUUUGGAUUAAUAGCAAAAUUCCAAGUUGUGGAAUAUUAUCUUCUGGUUUUGAAUACAUCCUAGCACUUUAUCAUAUUCUAUAUACUAACAUUAUAUAGUGCUUAUUAUAGAGAGUGGGUUUAGUAGUCCCUAAUAUUCAUGUCUUUAUAAAAGCUGAAUUUGUAAUAUUCUUUCAAGUAUCAUUGACAAUUUCCUGUACCAAGCAAAAUGAUAUCAUGAUAAUUAAAAUUAAAAUUCUGACAUCUGGAACAGGAAGCUCAGUUAAGCAAAAUUUAUUCGGAAAAAAGAUGUCUUACCAGGGCUGUGUAUUAGACUUUAUUUUAGGUUAAGAGAAAAAUAUGAUUUAUAGGUUUCCUGAGACUAAAUCGUUAACACAAUAUUACAUACUAUAAGCAGAUAAGUUCCAAGCACAAUCCUUGGCAUAGUUUAAGGAGUCUAACAAAGAAAGAAGGAAUGGAAUUAAUGGUGAUGUUGAUGAAGAGGGAGGUUGUGAUGAUGGUGAUGUGAGAACACAACGAGCUGUAAUAAAUAAAGAAAAAUCAUCCACUACUGUUUUUAAGGCAUAAAUACACAGUAGGUCUUAUAGAAAACUGGAAAAGUCACCUAUUAAUCGGCAACUCUAAUGAUCAAUUUAUCUUGUAACCUUAAGGUGUGAUCUGUUCUUCAAAUUUAUCUUACUCUCUCCACUCGUGCUCCUUUGUGAGUUAUCAUACCCUUUCAUUAGCUCACCUAUCAAAUGUCAGUGACCUCUGUUCGAUUAAGGACUAGAAUAGAAUAGAAUAGAAUAGAAUAGAACAGAACAGAACAGAACAGAACAGAACAGAACAGAACAGAACAGAACAGAACAGAACAGAACAAUUUGGCUUUCAGGCUUACAUGGCAAAAAGCAUACCAUCUUUGGGUAGAAAGAAAUACCUUUAUUCAGCAAAGACCUAUAAACAUAGCAGACUUUUUGGUGUUGCCGACUGAGCAGUAUAGACCUGUAUCUGUUUUAGAUGAUUAUGUUACUCUUGCCCAUAAUGGUCCAAAAUAGGAACUUUUUUUAAAAAAGAUGUUGAGAGAGGCGAGGGAUUUGCAGGAUGCGCCACAGAGCCGUUUUGUUUUGAAAGUGUAAAAGAAGUAUAAUACAUAAUUUCUGAUUAGUUUUUUUAAAACUACAAAAUGUUGUUUUUUCCACUAUUCUUCUGAGGGAUGUUCACCAAUAUUCUGGUUUUCCUCUGGACACAUGGUUGAAUUGCACUUCCUCACUCCCCUCCCCAUAGCCUACCAUGCUUGCAGUUAGUUAGGCACAACCAAUGACCUGCUGUAGCCAACGAAAUGAGAGCAGAAGUGAAGUGUUCACUUAUGUUUGUCCUACUUCUUGCAAUAAGUAAUUUGAGGCAGUUGUGACCUUGGCCAUGGAUAUGGUGGUACAUCAUUUGCACUGUUAAGAUUAUGACAAAAACAUUGCACAUAUUCAAUUUAUUUCAUAUUAAAAACAAAUAAAAUAUUUUGAACUCACCAUAAAAUUGCUUGAUUAAAACAUGGCUACUAUGUACAUUCUAAAUAUACUUCUCUUUAUUGGAAAAAUAUUAAUUAAAAUAAUUAUUACUUUAACAGAAACUCUAAGUGAUUAGUGCUUCAUAAUGAUUGCCCACAGAUUUAGAAUACUUAUUAAUUCUAUAAUAAUGUAGUCUUAAGAAUUAUAUGUGUUUAACUUUUUCAGGCUAAAAUAAUGUGUUACGUAUAAAGAUUUAAUUGUAGGCACAUGACUCUGAACUCCCUUUUCCCAAGUGUAGAGAUUGUUGUGACAAGUCCUGAAAUGGAGCCUCCAUCAGCCUGAGUGACUACAAUGAGCUGAAAUCAGUGCUGCUCCAUUUGGACAUUCAAGAUGAGUGAGAUAAAAAAAAAAAAUUGUUUUGUGUUAAGCCACUGAGAAUAGGGUGGUGUUUGUUACUGCAGCCUGACAUAGCCCACCCUGACAAGUACAGAUGGCGGCCUGUAGUGCUUACAUACCAAAAAAGAAUAAUCUUAGAAUGCACAGUGUAAAGCCACUCAGUCACUUGUCAUAAAAUUUAUACGAUGAGAAAGAGGCCACACAGAUCCGCAGAUGGUGGACCAAACUCCUUGGUUGGUUGGUAUUGGGAGAACAAGUGUUAGGCCUGGGGAGAAUGUGUGGGUAUCCAUCUGUCUUUGGCCAAGUGAACACGCUAGUGUUCCAGGUCUUUAGGCAAAAGCAGAAAAGAGAUGACAGCUUUCAGCUCAACAGAUAACUUAAGAUGCCAAACUUUUCUGCUGUGUGCCUUAUUUUUUUGAAGAAGCCCAGAGAUCCCCAGUUCAACAAGUAACUAUAUAUAAUAAGCAUGAACUUAUGUUUGCCC